UGCAAGUCGAGCGAACAGAUAAGGAGCUUGCUCCUUUGACGUUAGCGGCGGACGGGUGAGUAACACGUGGGUAACCUACCUAUAAGACUGGGAUAACUUCGGGAAACCGGAGCUAAUACCGGAUAACAUUUGGAACCGCAUGGUUCUAAAGUGAAAGAUGGUUUUGCUAUCACUUAUAGAUGGACCCGCGCCGUAUUAGCUAGUUGGUAAGGUAACGGCUUACCAAGGCGACGAUACGUAGCCGACCUGAGAGGGUGAUCGGCCACACUGGAACUGAGACACGGUCCAGACUCCUACGGGAGGCAGCAGUAGGGAAUCUUCCGCAAUGGGCGAAAGCCUGACGGAGCAACGCCGCGUGAGUGAUGAAGGGUUUCGGCUCGUAAAACUCUGUUAUUAGGGAAGAACAAAUGUGUAAGUAACUGUGCACGUCUUGACGGUACCUAAUCAGAAAGCCACGGCUAACUACGUGCCAGCAGCCGCGGUAAUACGUAGGUGGCAAGCGUUAUCCGGAAUUAUUGGGCGUAAAGCGCGCGUAGGCGGUUUCUUAAGUCUGAUGUGAAAGCCCACGGCUCAACCGUGGAGGGUCAUUGGAAACUGGGAAACUUGAGUGCAGAAGAGGAAAGUGGAAUUCCAUGUGUAGCGGUGAAAUGCGCAGAGAUAUGGAGGAACACCAGUGGCGAAGGCGACUUUCUGGUCUGUAACUGACGCUGAUGUGCGAAAGCGUGGGGAUCAAACAGGAUUAGAUACCCUGGUAGUCCACGCCGUAAACGAUGAGUGCUAAGUGUUAGGGGGUUUCCGCCCCUUAGUGCUGCAGCUAACGCAUUAAGCACUCCGCCUGGGGAGUACGACCGCAAGGUUGAACUCAAAGGAAUUGACGGGGACCCGCACAAGCGGUGGAGCAUGUGGUUUAAUUCGAAGCACGCGAGAACCUUACCAAUCUUGACAUCCUUUGAAACUCUAGAGAUAGAGCCUUCCCCUUCGGGGACAAAGUGACAGGUGGUGCAUGGUUGUCGUCAGCUCGUGUC
rnacentral:rRNA from 1 species